GAUGAACGCUGGCGGCGUGCCUAACACAUGCAAGUCGAACGGACAAAGAUGAAACCUAGUGAUUCUUUGUUAGUGGCGGACGGGUGAGUAACGCGUGGGUAACCUGCCCUGUACCGGGGGAUAACACUUAGAAAUAGGUGCUAAUACCGCAUAAGCGCACGAAGAUGCAUGUCUUUGUGUGAAAAACUCCGGUGGUACAGGAUGGACCCGCGUCUGAUUAGCUAGUUGGUGAGGUAACGGCCCACCAAGGCGACGAUCAGUAGCCGGCCUGAGAGGGUGACCGGCCACAUUGGGACUGAGACACGGCCCAAACUCCUACGGGAGGCAGCAGUGGGGAAUAUUGCACAAUGGGGGGAAACCCUGAUGCAGCAACGCCGCGUGAGUGAAGAAGUAUUCGGUAUGUAAAGCUCUAUCAGCAGGAAAGAAAAUGACGGUACCUGACUAAAGAAGCCCCGGCUAACUACGUG
rnacentral:rRNA from 1 species